UACGAAGGGGGCUAGCGUUGUUCGGAUUUACUGGGCGUAAAGCGCACGUAGGCGGAUCGUUAAGUGAGGGGUGAAAUCCCAGGGCUCAACCCCUGGAACUGCCUUUCAUACUGGCGAUCUUGAGUCCGGAAGAGGUGAGUGGAACUCCUAGUGUAGAGGUGGAAUUCGUAGAUAUUAGGAAGAACACCAGUGGCGAAGGCGGCUCAGCUGGUCCGGUACUGACGCUGAGGUGCGAAAGGCGUGGGGAGCAAACAGG
rnacentral:rRNA from 1 species